rnacentral:rRNA from 1 species
GGUUAAGUUAGAAAGGGCGCACGGUGAAUGCCUUGGCACUAGGAGCCGAUGAAGGACGGGACUAACACCGAUAUGCUUCGGGGAGCUGUAAGUGAGCUUUGAUCCGGAGAUUUCCGAAUGGGGAAACCCACUGUUCGUAAUGGAACAGUAUCUUUAUCUGAAUACAUAGGAUAUUGAAGGCAGACCCGGGGAACUGAAACAUCUAAGUACCCGGAGGAAGAGAAAGCAAAUGCGAUUUCCUGAGUAGCGGCGAGCGAAACGGAAUUAGCCCAAACCAAGAGGCUUGCCUCUUGGGGUUGUAGGACACUCUAUACGGAGUUACAAAGGAACGAAGUAAAUGAAGCGACCUGGAAAGGUCCGUCGAAGAAGGUAACAACCCUGUAGUUGAAACUUCGUUCCCUCUUGAGUGGAUCCUGAGUACGGCGGAACACGUGAAAUUCCGUCGGAAGCUGGGAGGACCAUCUCCCAAGGCUAAAUACUACCUAGUGACCGAUAGUGAACCAGUACCGUGAGGGAAAGGUGAAAAGCACCCCGGAAGGGGAGUGAAAGAGAUCCUGAAACCGUGUGCCUACAAGUAGUCAGAGCCCGUUAAUGGGUGAUGGCGUGCCUUUUGUAGAAUGAACCGGCGAGUUACGAUCCCAUGCAAGGUUAAGCUGAUAAGGCGGAGCCGUAGCGAAAGCGAGUCUGAAUAGGGCGUUUAGUAUGUGGUUGUAGACCCGAAACCAGGUGAUCUACCCAUGUCCAGGGUGAAGUUCAGGUAACACUGAAUGGAGGCCCGAACCCACGCACGUUGAAAAGUGCGGGGAUGAGGUGUGGGUAGCGGAGAAAUUCCAAUCGAACCUGGAGAUAGCUGGUUCUCUCCGAAAUAGCUUUAGGGCUAGCCUCAUGUUGUGAGAGUCUUGGAGGUAGAGCACUGAUUGGACUAGGGGCCCCCAACGGGUUACCGAAUUCAGUCAAACUCCGAAUGCCAAAGACUUAUCCAUGGGAGUCAGACUGCGAGUGAUAAGAUCCGUAGUCAAAAGGGAAACAGCCCAGACCACCAGCUAAGGUCCCCAAGUAUACGUUAAGUGGAAAAGGAUGUGGAGUUGCUUAGACAACCAGGAUGUUGGCUUAGAAGCAGCCACCAUUUAAAGAGUGCGUAAUAGCUCACUGGUCGAGUGACUCUGCGCCGAAAAUGUACCGGGGCUAAACGUAUCACCGAAGCUGUGGAUUGACAUCUUAGAUGUCAGUGGUAGGAGAGCGUUCUAAGUGCUGUGAAGUCAGACCGUAAGGACUGGUGGAGCGCUUAGAAGUGAGAAUGCCGGUAUGAGUAGCGAAAGACAAGUGAGAAUCUUGUCCACCGAAUGCCUAAGGUUUCCUGAGGAAGGCUCGUCCGCUCAGGGUUAGUCGGGACCUAAGCCGAGGCUGAAAAGCGUAGGCGAUGGCCAACAGGUUGAUAUUCCUGUACCACCUCCCCGCCGUUUGAGUAAUGGGGGGACGCAGUAGGAUAGGGUAAGCGCGCUGCUGGAUAUGCGCGUUCAAGCAGUUAGGCUGAUGAGUAGGCAAAUCCGCUCAUCAUAAAGGCUGAGCUGUGAUGACGAGGGAAUUAUAGUACCGAAGUUCCUGAUUCCACACUGCCAAGAAAAGCCUCUAGCGAGGCGGGAGGUGCCCGUACCGCAAACCGACACAGGUAGGCGAGGAGAGAAUCCUAAGGUGAUCGAGAGAACUCUCGUUAAGGAACUCGGCAAAAUGACCCCGUAACUUCGGGAGAAGGGGUGCUCUGGUAGGGUGUAUAGCCCGAGAGAGCCGCAGUGAAUAGGCCCAGGCGACUGUUUAGCAAAAACACAGGUCUCUGCGAAGCCGCAAGGCGAAGUAUAGGGGCUGACGCCUGCCCGGUGCUGGAAGGUUAAGAGGAGGGGUUAUCCUUUGGGAGAAGCUCUGAAUCGAAGCCCCAGUAAACGGCGGCCGUAACUAUAACGGUCCUAAGGUAGCGAAAUUCCUUGUCGGGUAAGUUCCGACCCGCACGAAAGGCGUAACGAUCUGGGCACUGUCUCAACGAGAGACUCGGUGAAAUUAUAGUACCUGUGAAGAUGCAGGUUACCCGCGACAGGACGGAAAGACCCCGUGGAGCUUUACUGUAGCCUGAUAUUGAAUUUUGGUACAGCUUGUACAGGAUAGGUAGGAGCCUGAGAAGCCGGAGCGCUAGCUUCGGUGGAGGCGUCGGUGGGAUACUACCCUGGCUGUAUUGAAAUUCUAACCCGCGGCCCUGAUCGGGCCGGGAGACAGUGUCAGGUGGGCAGUUUGACUGGGGCGGUCGCCUCCUAAAAUGUAACGGAGGCGCCCAAAGGUUCCCUCAGAAUGGUUGGAAAUCAUUCGUAGAGUGUAAAGGCACAAGGGAGCUUGACUGCGAGACCUACAAGUCGAGCAGGGACGAAAGUCGGGCUUAGUGAUCCGGUGGUUCCGCAUGGAAGGGCCAUCGCUCAACGGAUAAAAGCUACCCCGGGGAUAACAGGCUUAUCUCCCCCAAGAGUCCACAUCGACGGGGAGGUUUGGCACCUCGAUGUCGGCUCAUCGCAUCCUGGGGCUGUAGUCGGUCCCAAGGGUUGGGCUGUUCGCCCAUUAAAGCGGUACGCGAGCUGGGUUCAGAACGUCGUGAGACAGUUCGGUCCCUAUCCGUCGUGGGCGUAGGAAAUUUGAGAGGAGCUGUCCUUAGUACGAGAGGACCGGGAUGGACACACCGCUGGUGUACCAGUUGUCUUGCCAAAGGCAUCGCUGGGUAGCUAUGUGUGGACGGGAUAAGUGCUGAAAGCAUCUAAGCAUGAAGCCCCCCUCAAGAUGAGAUUUCCCAUAGCGUAAGCUAGUAAGAUCCCUGAAAGAUGAUCAGGUUGAUAGGUCAGAGGUGGAAGCGUGGCGACAUGUGUAGCUGACUGAUACUAAUCGAUCGAGGACUUAACCAA